rnacentral:lncRNA from 1 species
CCCUUCUGUUCCUCUCAGGUUUGAGGGGAAGAGCUGAGGAGGGGGUUUUUUUCUUCAGGAAUCCAAAGAACCAAGAGAAGAAAACACCAAAUGUGUUAAUAUGCUUAUCCACCCAUAAGUGUUGUCGAAAACUGGGACCAUGUUCAUAAUGACAAAAAGCAGUCUUCUGUCAAUGGAAAUUUUGUGGCUGAGUCAUUUGUCCUCAUUUUAUAGCUCAUCAGGCCUGAGAAGAACUUCCAGACCCAUCAACUGGAUCCUGGAUGUGCAGCUGAGCCUCUUUCAAAACUGCUGUCACCAUGGACUCCUGCGCAGACCAAACAUCCCUUUUGGAAUUUCAAUCCCCACGACAACAGUACUGUCCAGAGACAGACAUCCCAUCAUGAUGGAGCAAACCAAGGCUCAAGAACCAAACUAAAGCCAUCGGUAAUGUAGAGCCAGACGUUAUACUUAAACAACAAAUAUGCUUUCUCUGGAAUUACAGGUGUGGGUCUUCACCUCACACAACCCCUACGGAAUCACAAGAGGAAAAUACCACUAUUUCUCAGUCAGGCGGAGGACUAAGAAUUCAAGGUGAACACCUCUUGCUAAUGGCUCUUUUUAGUGAAACCACUACUGAGAGCUGACGGAACACACACAUUUGGCAAACAGAUGGAGGGAGGGAACGGGCAUCUCCCUUUGUGAAUUCAAUACCAGUUGAUUCAUUAGGCAGAACUGCCAACACAGAAAAUAAAUACAGCCUCUGGUUACAAAAGUAUAACUGCUGCUUACCAAACAACAGAAAUAAAAAAAACAGGCA